GUGGUUUGGAGCCACUUGAUUCGGAUGAAUGAAGUCCGUUUAAGAUCUUCAUGUAUAUCUCUGAUCCCGUAGAGAUGUUAUUAUGACCACAUUCAUAGGCUGCAUGUUCAGUUAUUCGGAAACUACCAAACUGACAAAGUAGUGGAGUUCAAUGACAUCCAUUACGAGAGCAUAUCUCAUCGUAGUUGAUCCCAGUGCGUGUUAGUGAGAGACCUUGCACCAUAAGGUGAGUCUAAGCUCUUGUUCUCACUACGCUAUCUAACAAAGGUAUAGUUGAUAGGGUUUAGCUUGCGGUGUCAGCAUCACCUGCCCAAGGACCUAUCUCUUUGUUAAUGCUGGAUCGCAUCUUUCCAUUAGGCCAAUCAACUAAGUUGAUAUCCAUCAACGAAUGGUGGUUCAAUAGUAGACUUAUUAUCUCACGUCCUCAUGUACAUUAGUGUAAUACUUGUAGAGAUCUCUAUAUGGAUUGGAUUUGACAUUGAGGCGUCCCCCAACGAUAAUCACAAUUCAGACUUCAUGAGACGGAUUUGAGUAUCACUGAUUAAUGGAUCAGGUUGUGACAAGCUCGCUUUCUUUCUAGUGCAAGACAAUAUCGAACCUAAGGGCCUCCCUCAUUUUAGGGAGCCACACGGCCUUGUGACACCAAUUUUUGCCAUUAUAUGGCGUCACCAUAUCACCAUCCAUGGUGAUGGCGUCAAGACCAACACUUUUUGGUCACGCCAUGUCCUUUUGUAGGACAUCAAUCCUUGCAGACAUAUUUGCAGCAUAUGAUCUCGUCACUUUAACACUAUAAGCAUUUGGGAUCAAGAUGAGACUUAGUGGGGACAAACCACGACAAUUCACGUCGUUCCACUUGAACACUUGUGUUCUUAUCUCCCCCUAACGGCGGGAAUAUUGUCUCAUCAAAAUGACAAUCCGCAAUUUAGCGGUGAAUGAGAUCGCCUGACAAGGUUCCUACAUAUGCGGAUUAUAGGUGGAGGUUUAUAUCCAACCUAAACUUAUUCAUCUCAAAUGACCCAUCAUUGUACACAGUGGCAAUGUGAUUUGGCACCUAGAAAUAACAUCUAGCUGAGCUCAAGGAUUGGAGAUCCAUUUCAAUCCUGCCGAGCUCAAGGAUUGCAAUUUCGUGUCAAUCCUGGUACACAGUCACAAGCUGUAGUACAACAAAAUUCAAUGAUGGUGGGUCGUA
rnacentral:lncRNA from 1 species